rnacentral:rRNA from 1 species
AGCUCCAAUAGCGUAUAUUAAAGUUGUUGCAGUUAAAAAGCUCGUAGUUGGAUUUCGGGUCGACGCGAGCGGUCCGCCGCAAGGCCGGUACUUCUCCGUCGUCCUUUUUCCCGACGGCCCCUUCUGCUCUUCACUGCAGUGGACUGGGGACCUUGGGACGUUUACUGUGAAAAAAUUAGAGUGUUCAAAGCAGGCAGUCGCUUGAAUACAUUAGCAUGGAAUAAUGGAAGAGGACUUGGGUCCUGUUUUGUUGGUUUCCUGGACCGAAGUAAUGAUCAAUAGGGACAGUCGGGGGCAUUCGUAUUCUAUUGUCAGAGGUGAAAUUCUUGGAUUUAUGGAAGACGAACUAGUGCGAAAGCAUUUGCCAAGGAUGUUUUCAUUAAUCAAGAACGAAAGUAGG